UACGGAGGGUGCAAGCGUUGUCCGGAAUUACUGGGCGUAAAGCGCGCGUAGGCGGCUUUGUAAGUUGGGAGUGAAAUCCCGGAGCUUAACUACCGGAAUUGCUUUCAAAACUACAAAGCUAGAGUUUGGUAGGGGGCAGUGGAAUUCCUAGUGUAGAGGUGAAAUUCGUAGAUAUUAAGGAGGAACACCAGUGGCGAAGG
rnacentral:rRNA from 1 species